GGCCAGAGCACCUCCAUCCACUCCUCUCCUGAGGUACUGACAGACCCUGUGCUGCUUGUACUCUGCUCCUGAACCUGCCCACCAAGAUGUCCUGCCAGCAGAACCAACAGCAGUGCCAGCCCCCUCCCAAGUGUGCCCCCAAGUGCCCCACCCCUAAAUGCCCCCCAAAAUGCCCCCCAGUCUCCUCCUGCUGUUGCCCCAGCUCCGGGGACUGCUGCAGCUCUGGGUGUGGGGGCUGCUGCCUGAGCCACCACAGGCGCCGCAGGUCCCACCGCUGCAGACCCCACAGGUCUGACUGCUGCAGCCAGCCCUCGGGGGGCUCCGGGUGCUGUGGAGGGGGGAGUGGUCAGUCCUUUGGAGACGGCUGCUGCUGAAGUGGACGCUGAGCCAAGAAGAGCCGACCUGGGGACAACAGAUGGACAAACACUUCCUCCUCCUCCUGCCCCUCCUGCUGGGUCUGCCCCUGUCACUGGGGGUUUGGGUGAAGCCUUUGAGCUCUGGUCCAGGGGAUCCCUGUGCCUUGAGGUCCAGGAGCCCCAAACCUCUCCCCAAUACCCAUUUAUUCACCUCCUUUCCCAUAUGUGUGGCAGCCUUGGGAACCCCAAAGUACAGACUGCGUGUCCCUCUGCAGCUUCUCUUUUUGCAUAAAUCAGGUUGAUGUGAAACAAUAAAACUAGAAAUCUGUA